GUCUAAAGGACCGCGGUCCUUCGGUGGCAAGACGCUUUUAAAUACAAGGCUAUUCUCAAAAUCUACCGGUUAUGUUGGUUUGGACACACAUUCGCAUUAGUUCGUCGCUCAAUCGCGAGUUACAGCCUGCAGUUUGCUAGCUAGCAAAGUCAUCGACUACCAUCGUUUAAGUACAUGUUUCCUUUUUGUGUAACGCAAUAUUAUGUUUACAUUGUUUUUAGUUUAUAUAUUUAAAAUGUGUAGUCAUCUUUGUUCUUGCCUAACUAGCUAAAGUAGCCUUGUUAACGCAAUGUUGUUAGUACAUGUUGAAUUUUAACGAGCUAUACUAGGUAGCAAAAGCUUUACAUCUAGAAAGACUAAGUUUAACUUUUAGUGUUUUCUUACAAAAAUAACGAUGUAUAUAUGUUGUUUAAAUUAUUUUGUUUGCCUGAACAAGUAUGCUGCUAGUCCAGUAGCUAGAGUGGCUAGUAGGUGUUAGUUAGCACAUGCUAUUUUGCCUUUGUUACAGUACACACUGUGGCUAGCAAGUUUUGUGCUUUGUUGCUACUGUACUGGAUUUAAGGCGAUUAUGAUUUCUAAUUCUCUGAACUGCUGUACUUUUUAUGUUUGAGGAAAAUUGUGUUCACUUGAAUCACAACACUCGGUGAAUACAUUUUAUUUUUAACAAUUUCACUGUUCCACAUUUGGCUGAUAAUGUUCCCCCCCCCACAGCAUAGCUACGGUAUAUUCCUAACGUUAACAAUCCGGUUUUGUUCAUGUUUUCUUGCAGAUACCUUGGCCAGAGCAUAACCGGUUAUCUUCACCCAAGAGACCUACUGUUGGUCAAUCGUUUUGGUUUUAAAGAACCAGGUUUCUCCCCAGUAAUCCAGACUCCACUUCACAGAGCCAAGAGUUUGAGUACAACUCGUCAAGUACUAAGCUUUACACCACCAGCAGCAAUUUACCCUGGCAGCAUAUGGGUGAAAACGCUGGAGGAGAAAGUCAUCGCUUUGUUAUUGGCCCUUGGACGCCCCUGGCAUCUCGUGUACAGCACAAAGUUUUCAGCUAUGAAGAUUUCCAGUGACUCCAGAAUAAAAACCAAGCUCUGAGGGAGGAGAACCAAGCCCUGAGGGAAUGCAAUGCACAAGCAGACCCAGGCAACCGCCAGAGAAAAUGAAGCAUUGUCAAGAAAUCUCGCAAGAAAUGGGAGUGACGUAAUCGGCGGCAAACGUUUCAUCCCCGCCAGCAGGACACACCUAUAGCCGACAGCUUAGGGUCGGCGGCAAAAAGAAGCCGUGCGGAUAUUUUUUGCUAUCUGGGUACAAACAAAUUAUAACACAAACACAAUAAUUGUUAAUAAUAUAAAUAGGUCAGCUCUGGGAUGAAAAUAAUGUGGAAACAGCACAACCUAGGGAGAGAAAAGCAAUGAAACUACGUCAGUAGUCUGAUGGUAACAAACUUUGUAAAAUACAUUGAGCGUUAAUGAAUUAGUGACUCAGAGACAGGAAGGUAUCAAGAUUUUGACU
ensembl:lncRNA